rnacentral:misc_RNA from 1 species
AGCAGCCGCGGUAAUUCCAGCUCCAAUAGCGUAUAUUAAAGUUGUUGCAGUUAAAAAGCUCGUAGUUGAAUUUCGGGAUCAAUAUGUUGGUCGUGCCUUGGUACGUACUGGCAUUAUCGAUUCCUACCUUCUGAAGAACCUCGAUGUCAUUAAUUUGGUGUCUUGGGGAAUCAGGACUGUUACUUUGAAAAAUUAGAGUGUUUAAGGCAGGCUCGCGCUUGAAUACAUUAGCAUGGAAUAAUGAAAUAGGACGUUUGAUUCUAUUUUGUUGGUUUCUAGGAUCGACGUAAUGAUUAAUAGGGAUAGUUGGGGGCAUUAGUAUUCAAUUGUCAGAGGUGAAAUUCUUGGAUUUAUUGAAGACUAACUACUGCGAAAGCAUUUGCCAAGGAUGUUUUCAUUAAUCAAGAACGAAAGUUAGGGGAUCGAAGACGAUCAGAUACCGUCGUAGUCUUAACCAUAAACUAUGCCGACUAGGGAUCGGAUGAUGUUAAUUUUUAAUGACUCAUUCGGCUACCG